AGUGAACGCUGGCGGCAGGCCUAACACAUGCAAGUCGAGCGGCAGCGCGGGGGCAACCCUGGCGGCGAGCGGCGGACGGGUGAGGAAUUCGUCGGAAUCUGCCUUUUUGUGGGGGAUAACGUAGGGAAACUUACGCUAAUACCGCAUACGUCCUACGGGAGAAAGUGGGGGACCGCAAGGCCUCACGCAGAAAGAUGAGCCGACGACCGAUUAGCUAGUUGGUGGGGUAAAGGCCCACCAAGGCGACGAUCGGUAGCUGGUCUGAGAGGAUGAUCAGCCACACUGGGACUGAGACACGGCCCAGACUCCUACGGGAGGCAGCAGUGGGGAAUAUUGGACAAUGGGCGCAAGCCUGAUCCAGCCAUGCCGCGUGCGUGAAGAAGGCCUUCGGGUUGUAAAGCACUUUUGUCCGGAAAGAAAUCCCUGGAGCUAAUACCUUCGGGGGAUGACGGUACCGGAAGAAUAAGCACCGGCUAACUUCGU
rnacentral:rRNA from 1 species